AUGGCUAUGGUUUUAAGGUAUGUCAACGAUCAUGGGUAUACAAUUGAGAGAUUUAUUGGGAUUAAGCAUGUUGGUGACACAAGAGCAGCUUCUCUAAAGGCAGUCGUGGAUGGUAUGUUUCGUAAACAUGGCUUAUCUAUGUCUAAAUUGAGAGGGCAAGGGUAUGACGGAGCUUCUAACAUGAGAGGGCAAUUUCAUGGGUUGCAACAGUUGAUACUAGAUGAAAAUCCUUAUGCAUUCUAUAUUCAUUACUUUGCCCAUCAAUUACAAUUAGUGGUUGUUGUUGUUGCUAAGUGUUGUUCCUUUGUAUUGGAUUUUUUUAACCACACAACUUUGAUUGUCAACACUGUCAAUGCUUCUUGUAAGAGACAUGAUGAACUAGCCCAACAACAUCAUGACACUAUUGUGAGCCAAUUGGAGUCUGGAGAAAUUUUUCAGGAAGAGGGAAAAACCAAGCAACCAACCUUGUAA
rnacentral:rRNA from 1 species